rnacentral:lncRNA from 13 species
GUUAGCUUAAAGAUAAGACAGAAAUCUGUGGAAAGCUUGAUAUACUGCCAUUAAAUGUUCAAUUUGAUCAAUGUUUUCCUGCAUGUGUAUGCCACAUCUUCCAUUAUCCAUUGGCCUUUUUAGAAUAUUGUAUGGAAUAGAAAAAUAGCUUGUCAGAUGUCUAAAAUGUUGUCAUUUCUGCACUUCAUCAUCUUGAGACACUACCGCAGAUUGUAUAUUUAUGUACACAAAUGCAAUUUAUGUAUAUUUGCCUUUAUUGUAACUUAUGAACCAAUGAGCUGAAGUUCUGAAAUGCGUUAAUAUAAAUGUAUAUUACUCAACAUGUGGUGCAGUGAUGUGUUCAAUCGAGCAAGAAUAAAAUGCAAAACGUAUACACAUUAGGUAGUUUGUUAAAAAAAAAACUUUAUUGCCAUUUCACUAUCGAUUAUACACUUAAAACCUAUAAGAGCAACAAUUUAAGACUACUUCCAUUUUAAUUAAAUACAAACUUUAUUACAAAAACAAUUACUUCAUGCCAUGCUCCUUGCUUUACUUCGAGAACAGAAUCAAUCCUUCAAGUUUUACAAGUCUUAACUUCAUAGAUGGAAACACAAAAUAGCAAGUUUAGCAAACAGUCGUAUGAACUGACAGGGCCUGAAAACAGGGUCGGAGAAGAGACAUGUCAUGGUUUGACUAUGAAAUUCAAAACCUUAAAAAAAAAAAAAAAAGCUAGAUUAAGUAACACAUAUUACAGCAUUCUGCACAUGGAAACUGUACACUGUAACCCUAACUUGACACUUAAAAGCAUUGAGUGGUUAGCAUCCAUGAGUAUAUACACACACAAUUGUGCCACGAUACUCAACAAAAAAAAUUGUCCACUUACAGAAUAUUAUACAAUGAGACAGGUGCUUUUUCAAUUUACACAGAAGAGGGGGUUACCCAGAAAAAGAAAGCCAGGAUAAGAGCAGGGUUUUGGGGUGGGU